rnacentral:rRNA from 1 species
AACGAACGCUGGCGGCAUGCCUAACACAUGCAAGUCGAACGAGACCUUCGGGUCUAGUGGCGCACGGGUGCGUAACGCGUGGGAACCUGCCUUUAGGUUCGGAAUAACUCAGAGAAAUUUGAGCUAAUACCGGAUGAUGUCUUCGGACCAAAGAUUUAUCGCCUUUAGAUGGGCCCGCGUUGGAUUAGCUAGUUGGUGGGGUAAAGGCCUACCAAGGCGACGAUCCAUAGCUGGUCUGAGAGGAGGAUCAGCCACACUGGGACUGAGACACGGCCCAGACUCCUACGGGAGGCAGAAGUGGGGAAUAUUGGACACUGGGCGAAAGCCUGAGCCAGCAAUGCCGCGUGAGUGAAGAAGGCCUUAGGGUUGUAAAGCUCUUUUACCCGAGAUGAUAAUGACAGUAUCGGGAGAAUAAGCUCCGGCUAACUCCGUG